GACGAACGCUGGCGGCGUGCUUAACACAUGCAAGUCGAACGGAGAGGCCCUGCUUUUGUGGGGUGCUCGAGUGGCGAACGGGUGAGUAACACGUGAGUAACCUGCCCUUGACUUUGGGAUAACUUCGGGAAACUGGGGCUAAUACCGGAUAGGAGCUCCUGCUGCAUGGUGGGGGUUGGAAAGUUUCGGCGGUUGGGGAUGGACUCGCGGCUUAUCAGCUUGUUGGUGGGGUAGUGGCUUACCAAGGCUUUGACGGGUAGCCGGCCUGAGAGGGUGACCGGCCACAUUGGGACUGAGAUACGGCCCAGACUCCUACGGGAGGCAGCAGUGGGGAAUAUUGCACAAUGGGCGGAAGCCUGAUGCAGCAACGCCGCGUGCGGGAUGACGGCCUUCGGGUUGUAAACCGCUUUCGCCUGUGACGAAGCGUGAGUGACGGUAAUGGGUAAAGAAGCACCGGCUAACUACGUGCCAGCAGCCGCGGUGAUACGUAGGGUGCGAGCGUUGUCCGGAUUUAUUGGGCGUAAAGGGCUCGUAGGUGGUUGAUCGCGUCGGAAGUGUAAUCUUGGGGCUUAACCCUGAGCGUGCUUUCGAUACGGGUUGACUUGAGGAAGGUAGGGGAGAAUGGAAUUCCUGGUGGAGCGGUGGAAUGCGCAGAUAUCAGGAGGAACACCAGUGGCGAAGGCGGUUCUCUGGGCCUUUCCUGACGCUGAAGAGCGAAAGCGUGGGGAGCGAACAGGCUUAGAUACCCUGGUAGUCCGCGCUGUAAACGGUGGGUACUAGGUGUGGGGUCCAUUCCACGGGUUCCGUGCCGUAGCUAACGCUUUAAGUACCCCGCCUGGGGAGUACGGCCGCAAGGCUAAAACUCAAAGGAAUUGACGGGGCCCCGCACAAGCGGCGGAGCAUGCGGAUUAAUUCGAUGCAACGCGUAGAACCUUACCUGGGUCUGACAUGGAUCGGGAGUGCUCAGAGAUGGGUGUGCCUCUUUUGGGGUCGGUUCACAGGUGGUGCAUGGCUGUCGUCAGCUCGUGUCGUGAGAUGUUGGGUUAAGUCCCGCAACGAGCGCAACCCUUGUUCACUGUUGCCAGCACGUUAUGGUGGGGACUCAGUGGAGACCGCCGGGGUCAACUCGGAGGAAGGUGGGGAUGACGUCAAGUCAUCAUGCCCCUUAUGUCCAGGGCUUCACGCAUGCUACAAUGGCUGGUACAGAGAGUGGCGAGCCUGUGAGGGUGAGCGAAUCUCGGAAAGUCGGUCUCAGUUCGGAUUGGGGUCUGCAACUCGACCUCAUGAAGUCGGAGUCGCUAGUAAUCGCAGAUCAGCAACGCUGCGGAGAAUACGUUCCCGGG
rnacentral:rRNA from 1 species